AAAGAUUUAGUUAAAUUAUAACAUUAACUUGUCAAGUUAAAAUAAUUAAUUAAAAUUAAUAAUUUUUG
rnacentral:tRNA from 1 species